AAGCAGAUGAAGAAGAUUAAACAUGACCAUUCAAUGUCUCUCUUUAUCUUCUUCUUUAGUCGGCCUUCACUUUUUGAUCCUUGUAUCAUCUGUUCGAGUUACUAAUGAAUCCUGUCUUCUCAUUUCUAGAUUUUGUUUUUGCAGUUUGCUUAUCAGUAAAAGAAAACAUUACAUCGAUACUUUGGUUUGUCUAUCUUUGGG
rnacentral:misc_RNA from 1 species